rnacentral:rRNA from 1 species
AAAACCGACACAGGUAGAUAGGAAGAAGAUUCUAAGGCCAACGGGAGAAGGGUUGUUAAGGAACUCGGCAAGUUGACCCCGUAACUUAGGGAUAAGGGGUGCUCAAGUGAUUGAGCCGCAGAGAAUAGGCCCAGGCGACUGUUUAGCAAAAACACAGGUCUCUGCUAAAUCGAAAGAUGACGUAUAGGGGCUGACACCUGCCCGGUGCCGGAAGGUUAAGAGGAGAUGUAAGAGCAUUGAAUUGAAGCCCCGGUAAACGGCGGCCGUAACGAUAACGGUCCUAAGGUAGCGAAAUUCCUUGUCAGGUAAGUUCUGACCCGCACGAAAGGUGUAACGAUCUGGGCACUGUCUCAACAACCCGCCCGGCGAAAUUGUAGUACCGGUGAAGAUGCCGGUUACCCGCGACUAGACGGAAAGACCCCAUGGAGCUUUACUGUAGCCUAAUAUUGGAUUUCGGUAUUUCACGUACAGGAUAGGUGGGAGACUGGGAAGCACAGGCGUCAGCUUGUGUGGAGUCGACCUUGGGAUACCACACUUGGAGUGCUGGAAUUCUAACCUGCGGCUUUGAAGCAAGUCGGGGGACAUUGUUAGGUGGGCAGUUUGACUGGGGCGGUCGCCUCCUAAAGAGCAACGGAGGCGCUCAAAGGUUCGCUCUGCAUGGAUGGAAACCAUGCGUCAGAGUGUAAACGCAAAAGCGAGCCUAACUGCGAGAAUGACGGUUCGAGCAGUAACGAAAGUUGGAGUUAGUGAUCCGGCGGUAUGUGAAUGGAAAUGCCGUCGCUCAACGGAUAAAAGCUACCCUGGGGAUAACAGGCUGAUCUCCCCCAAGAGUCCACAUCGACGGGGAGGUUUGGCACCUCGAUGUCGGCUCAUCGCAUCCUGGGGCUGAAUUCGGUCCCAAGGGUUUGGCUGUUCGCCAAUUAAAGCGGUACGCGAGCUGGGUUCAGAACGUCGUGAGACAGUUCGGUCCCUAUCUGUCGUGGGCGUAGGAUACUUGCAAGGAGCUGUCCCUAGUACGAGAGGACCGGGAUGGACGCACCUCUGGUGCACCAGUUGUCACGCCAGUGGCACAGCUGGGCAGCUAUGUGCGGAACGGAUAAACGCUGAAGGCAUCUAAGCGUGAAGCCGCCCUUAAGAUAAGAUAUCCCUUCUGUUUACAGAGUAAGACCCCUUGAAGACUACAAGGUUGAUAGGCUCAAAGUGUAAGCACGGUGACGUGUUUAGCUAGCGAGUACUAAUCGGUCGAGGGCUUAAGC